CCUACGGGUGGCAGCAGUGAGGAAUAUUGGACAAUGGGCGGAAGCCUGAACCAGCGAAGUCGCGUGAGGGAAUAAGGCCCUACGGGUCGUAAACCUCUUUUGCCGGGGAGCAAGUGCGGGGACGUGUCCCGGCCCGGAGAGUACCCGGAGAAAAAGCAUCGGCUAACUCCGUGCCAGCAGCCGCGGUAAUACGGGGGAUGCGAGGGUUAUCCGGAUUGAUGGGGUUUAAAGGGUGCGUAGGCGGGCUUUUAAGUCAGCGGGAAAAGUUCGGGGUUCAACCCCGUCCGGCCGUUGAAACUGGGGGCCUUGAGUGAGGGAGAGGAAGGCGGAAUGCGUGGUGUAGCGGUGAAAUGCAUAGAUAUCAGGAGGAACCCCGAUGGCGAAGGCGGCUUUCCGGCGCCCAACUGACGCUGAGGCACGAAAGUGCGGGGAUCGAACAGGAUUAGAUACCCGAGUAGUC
rnacentral:rRNA from 1 species